AACCCGUGGUAAGGGCACCUUCUCAAUAAAUCCUUGUAUCUCUCCCAUGCAUCGUAAAGUGUUUCUAAAUCCAUCUGCAUAAAAGAAGAGAUAUCAUUACGUAA
rnacentral:snoRNA from 1 species